rnacentral:rRNA from 1 species
AAGUGGAGCAAUCCAUGAGUAAAGUGGCGCACGGGUGAGUAACACGUGACUAACCUACCCUGGAGUGGGGGAUAACUGAGGGAAACCUUAGCUAAUACCGCAUAAUACCUACGGGUCAAAGGAGCAAUUCGCUCUGGGAGGGGGUCGCGGCCGAUUAGUUAGUUGGCGGGGUAAUGGCCCACCAAGACGAUGAUCGGUAUCCGGCCUGAGAGGGCGCACGGACACACUGGAACUGAAACACGGUCCAGACUCCUACGGGAGGCAGCAGUGGGGAAUUUUGCGCAAUGGGGGAAACCCUGACGCAGCAACGCCGCGUGGAGGAUGAAGUCCUUCGGG